UCAUCAUGACGUUCUCCUUCAACCCAGCGGAUCAAACUGCACUCACUCAAGAUCCAGGGGCCUGAUAAUGGUCAGGCAGCAAAAACAGUGAAGAUCUUUAUCAACCAGCCAGCCACACCAGACUUUGAUGCAGCAGAGAGGAACGACCCUGUCCAACAGUUCGAGUUAACGGCUGAUGAUGUGAAGGAAGAUGCGGUUAUCAACCUGCGAUAUGUGAAGUUCCAGAACAUCCAAAAUGUCACUGUAAGUCAAUUACAUGUAUCUCUUUGACUUUCACCAUUUGUCCUUCCAUUGAGAGACACUCAGCAUACCAUUCUCACUCUCCAGCAAUGACGUGAACACCUCACUAUGAAAUUCGGCUACACAUUGUUGCAAUCAACAACAUUCAGACAGUGGCUACCACCAACCCGAGGUGAGACCAGUGGACGACGUACCAGAUCACGCAACAAACUGACCACUAUCAAUGCCAGAACGGAGCGGUAUAAGAACAGUACCAAUCCGCACAUCGUCUGACUACUGAACUCAUGAACUGUGUUGUUUUUACCUCAUCUGUCGAUAUUACCGGUCAAUCCAAUAUGUAUAUAUUUUAAUACGGUUGAUAACUGUGACAAUUUUAAGUGUCCUCGUUAAGUAUCAUGUGAGUACAAGAGCAAUUCAGGGCCCAUUUUUUUUAGUCCUGCUAUUCUGUACACUUUUAAUGGACCAAAUAAACCAUUAUUAAACCA